rnacentral:rRNA from 1 species
AGAGUUUGAUCCUGGCUCAGGAUGAACGCUGGCGGCGUGCCUAAUACAUGCAAGUCGAACGAGUUCUGAUUAUUGAAAGGUGCUUGCAUCUUGAUUUAAUUUUGAACGAGUGGCGGACGGGUGAGUAACACGUGGGUAACCUGCCCUUAAGUGGGGGAUAACAUUUGGAAACAGAUGCUAAUACCGCAUAAAUCCAAGAACCGCAUGGUUCUUGGCUGAAAGAUGGCGUAAGCUAUCGCUUUUGGAUGGACCCGCGGCGUAUUAGCUAGUUGGUGAGGUAACGGCUCACCAAGGCAAUGAUACGUAGCCGAACUGAGAGGUUGAUCGGCCACAUUGGGACUGAGACACGGCCCAAACUCCUACGGGAGGCAGCAGUAGGGAAUCUUCCACA